UUGCUUUGGCAGCAGAUGUAUUAAAAUUGGAAAAACAAAAAAGAAGAGUAGCAUAGAUGAUGUGUGAGAAUGACAUGAACAUUCAUGAAGUAGUCCAUAUUUUU
rnacentral:snRNA from 1 species